rnacentral:lncRNA from 1 species
UUNUUUUUUUUUAAUGCAUUACACAUUGUUCUGCACCUCAAUUUUUUUUCACUCAACACUGUAUCAAGGCAUUUGUUCCAGAUCAUCACACUCUUCCACUGCUCUGUACUAGUCCAGUGCAAGCAGGUCCCACCAUUCAUGUCAGUCCUAACUUGUCGACAUCUCGUCUGUUCCCAGUUGUCUGUGGCCAUGAAAGUUUCUCUCUAUGGAUCUUUAUACAUUUACAGGGGCCUAGAUUCCUUGAAGAGUAAUUUCUGAGGCAAAGGGAAUAUGUGCUUUGCAUUUUGAUAGAUAUCAGCCAAUAGUCCUCUAAAAAAUUUUACCAGGUUGGACCAAAAGCCACUUUUAGGUCUUUGCCCAUCUAAAGGAUAAAAAAUAGUAUCUCACUGUAAUUUACGUUUUUAAUUAUGAGAGAUGUUAGCAUCUUUUUCCUGUUUCCAAAUCACUGUAUUUCUUUUUCCCUUACCUCUCUUCAACAGUGUUUAAGGCGCCCUUGUACAGCCACAUAGGCAAAGUAUCUGGGACCUGCGGAAUUUUCAAGAGCCUGUAAAAAAAGUUUGAGACCUGGGGUGGGGGUGGGGGAUGUAUUGACUUGCAAAUAUUUUUAAAAGACCAAAAAGCUGAACCCAAAAUGGUAUAAUGUAAUCUCAACCAAACAUAAUCUUACGGCAAGCUCAUUAACUGGAAACUGGAAUUCAUGAACAUUUCAUUACAUUUUAAAGCAAUCUGUUGGUUUAGAUGUUCUCAUUUCAAAAAAAUCCCAAGAAUGCAUGAUGCUUUUCAAGAAAUUCAAGUCCAUUUUCAUUUAAACGCAUUAACUGUAGUUGAAUAAUUUCACAAUCAUAAUUAAUUGAAAACGCUUUUUAAAAAUUUACCAUAACGUGGGAGUUCCCUGGUGACUGGUUCAGUGGUUAAAGGAUCCAGCGUUGUCACUGCUGUGGUCAGGUCACUGCUGAGGGGCAGAUUCAAUCCCUGGCCUGCCCUGGAACUUCCGCAUGCCGCAGGUGCAGCCAAAAAAAAUAAAGAAUCAUAAAAUGACAUUCAAUGUGGAAUUAGAGUGCAUUUUAAUAUGUUUCAUGUGAUUUGGACGGGGCCUCCCAAAUUAAGUGCAUCAAGGGCCAAAAGUGGUUUUAUUUAAAAGGCCUGUAAACCUCCGAACCAGACAGACAAGGUCUCAGUCUCAGGAAAUUUCUAAUCAAAGAACACGCUGACCUUCUCAGCAAAAGUAGGAACGAGUAAAGUGGAUCAGAUCUGAGUCUGGAGCUCGCUGAGGACCCCUGGCUUCUCUCCCAACCCCCUGACUAAAAACUGAGAGUUUUUACAGAGAAAAAACUCUCUCCUGUGUCACACCCAUCCCCAGCCUGGUGACUCAGCGCUGGACAUGGGGAUUUUGGAAAGCUCAGUGGGGUGAUGGAGCGGGGAAAGACGGGGUAGAGGUGAUGCUCUCUCUGCUCUCAGGACCAGCCUGGGGUGGGGGUAGGGAGCAGCAGGACAGACAUAGGGAGGGAAAGAGACAAAUUGUCCCCAGAUGACAUUUUGAGACAGCAGAACAAAAUGUGUUUGGCUCUUCCCUACCCUCUCCCUCUUUUAAAGAGAAAUAGGACUCAGCCCUUGAAAGGGACCAUCUGGGCGUCUAAGUCACAGGUGCGAAGGUUUUAGGACUGGGAGGUGAGCAAUUCAGCACCUCCCCCCUCCUCCCCGUCUGCCUCCCCUCCCCAUCCAGCGGAGGAAAGGCAGGGAGGACCUGGGGGAAGCCGCGCUGGAAUCUCCUGCGUGCCCGCGCGUGCCCACUCCCCUAGUACUGUCUCUAUUCCCAGCCACUGGGGUGAGAAUUGGCACAAUGACACGCCAUAAAGUCCAAUCUAUCGAACCCAAUUGAAUUGAAAGGCACGGUGGAGUCAGAUGAGGGGUCUGAUUUCCUCCCCCUCAUGUUUGUUCUCAGCCCGCUGUGUGGCCUUGAGCAACGGCUGCCGCCUCUGAGCUGUUUCCGCAUUUGUACAGAGAGCGCCAGAAAACUUGGUCUGCGGGGACAUUAUGCAGACCCAGUGAACUGAAAUCGGCAAGGCAUUUAGCUCUGGGCCGGGCCUUUUUAAUUCUUACCCUUUGGCUGCAGUGGUGGGAAAGCAAAUGUUUGCCAGGUAGGGGGAGGUGGGUGGAGCUGAUGGUGGCCCCUCGCCAGCCAGAGAGGACUUUGAGCUUGCCCCGGAGUGCCAGGAGGGAGCCACUGAAGGUUCUGCAGCGAGGGAGGGGGCCAGAUCCCGGGAGGGGCCGGGAUCCUCGGCCCUCACCCAGAUCCAAAACCCCGCCUCUGGUGUUCUCUCUUCCUCCAAUGCACCCCCUCCCACAGCCCAGGGCCACAGCUCUGCUCCCACCAAGACCGAGUCUGGGAGAACAGCAGAGUGAGCCCCAGGACAAAGCCUAACUAAGGCUAUGCCUGAGCCCGGGCUUGAACCCCUACUCUGAGCCCCCCUCACUGGGUGUUUUGGAUUCCUCUGGGCCUCAGCCUUCUCCCUGCAAAGUGGGGCGACAACAGCGACCUCACGGGGUGGUGGGGAUGGUUAGUUGAGAUAAUAUGUAAAAGCACCUGGCGGCAUGCCUGCUGUACAGGUGGAGUUCAGUGUACGGUGCCAUUAACUGAGAAAGCGGACAGGGGAUCCAAAGGGAGAGAAUGAGGAUCAGAGACGGGGAAGAAUGACACACGGGCCCUUUGCCUCUCUGGAUGGUCCACCUGCAGCCAAGGAAAAAGCCCUUUGGGAGGAGGGGGUGAUUGGGGGGGCAGCUAUUGGGUAAGAGAGGAGGUCAUCCCUGGCCCGCUUCCCUCCUCUACUUCUACCUCCCGCCCAGCUUGGUCACCCAGUUUAGGGUGACAGGGCUGGGCAUGGUGGACCAGCAGCAAUCCUCCAGAUUCCAGAACUGGGCCUCCUGCAAAAGGUGGGUGAGGGUGUAAGGUGCUUCCAGGUGAUAAGAGAGCUGCAGGUGUCGGGCCAUGGGAGCUGGGAUUCCCCAUCCAUCACCCAUCAGGGCCCCAAGCCCAGCCCACCAGGCUUAACUGGAAGCCCGAGGCUGCUCCAUUUGCAGUGUGGGUCUGCGUGCAAGAAAGCUGGUAACACUGGCUGAGACCGGUUCACUCUCACCCACAGGCCAGCUGGGCCCUCCCCAGUGGCUGGGCACCUGAGCAGGUGUGUGUGUGGGGGGGCCUACAAGCUGUCACUUCUAAAUAUAGAGCCUGGCAGCCUGGGAGUCAGCCAGGUGCGGCUGCCACAUGGCCCCCCAAACUGGCUGAUACGCAUGUGCCCGCCAGUUCUGGGCCUGCACAGACACACAUCAAAACUGCCUCGCACAGACCCCCAGGGACCCACGGAUACCCCCAAAGACACACACUCAGCUUGGCAUGUACACGUCCCUGUCCUUGUUGAGGCCCCUUAUCCACACACACCCUCUCCCCACACUCAUACUCUGCAACGCUCACUGACACCGACCGGGCAGCCCCUGCUUGAACAACAGCCUCCUGAGGGCGGCAUCCCCCGUUCUUGUCCACUGCUGUCUCCUCUGCCUGUAACCGUGUCCAGCACAUACCAGGUGCCCAGAAACAAGGCCUGUCCUCCUCUGGCCUGGCCAAUCCCCCAUAGCCAGAGUCCAAGCCAGGCUGAGGACCUGAGCGGGAGGGUGGAGAGGGCAGCCCAGGGAAAGAAGUAGCUUCGAACCCCUAUUUAGGAGGAUGUGGGAAUCAUUGUUUGCUACAGGACAAACCUCCCUGGAGGAGCCACCGCACCACGCUGGAGUUCUGGGUUGGGCCACAUCCCCAGAAAUCCACCAGGGGAGGGGAACACGUGACCCCUAUAAGGCCCUCCCCAGCCCCCUCCUCUGAAGGAGUGCCCCAUUUUAGGUGAUACCACCCCAUCUAGGAGCCCUCAGCUCUGCCCCCAUAGUGCUUGGGCUGGGCUUCCCACAGCCUGCACAUGGAUGUAACAGAGUGACACUUCAGGGGGAGUUCCCAUUGUAGCUCCGUAGGUUAAGAACCUGAUUAGUAUCCAUGAGGGUACAGGUUCAAUCCCCAGCCUCGCUCAGUUCACAGAUGUGGCUUGGAUCCGGUGUUACUCUGGCUGUGGCUGGCAGGUGCAGCUCCGAUUCAACCCCUAGGCUGGAAACUUCCAUAUGCUAAGGUGUGCCCUAAAAAGAAAAAAAAAAAGAAAAGGAAAAAAAUAAAAAAGAGUGAUGCCUGGGGACACAGGAGCAGAGGGGGGUGGUGGUCAGGGAGGACUCCCUGGAGGAGAGGAGCCUUGUACAGUGAGAGACAGGAGGGCCUUCUGGGAAGAUGGCUGGAAGAGGCAUCUGAGCAUCUCUGACUCCAGGACUGCUGAGGGAGCACCGUGACUGUGCUGGGACCUCACAAUUCCCAUGAGAUGAAGCGGAGGCUGAUUGGGCAGGCUGAGCACCAGGGAUGAGGAGGGGAUGCUGUGACCCCAGAGCGACUGAAGGUCGGGUGAGAUUUAUAGUCAGAGCCUGCAUCAGUAGACUGGAGAAGAAGGUGACUGAGGGGGGCAAGCUGAUAAAGGAGAGGACUAGGGACAGCACUAAGGACAGAUGAGUGGCCAAUGGAUGGACAUAUGCAUAGACUAGCAGAUGGACUGAAAGACACAGGAGCAUGAAUAGACAAAUGGAAAGACAGAAGUGGGUGGCUGGCCACUGGGGUCACUCUCUGAAGCCCCACAAGAGCCUGAAGACCCAGCUACUUCCCCUGCAGACCACUCCCACCCCAGCUCCAUUCCCUGUCUCCUUUCCCAGACCAGGUUCCCAGGGAGGCAGACACCUGCUUGGCCUGAUGCCCAGAGAUGCACUUUCCAGCCAAGUACAAGCCCAGAUAUGGAGUCACCUCCUGGUGUUCUUACCUGUGCAGGUGUGCAUAGGAUGGGGUGGGGUCAGCGCCAUAUCUAUGGGCUAAUACCUCCAAAAAUAGCCUCCCAGCAACUGGGGAGUACCCCAAUCAUGGCUCACGUGCGCGCACACACACACACACACACACACACACACACACACAGCCGCUGGCAGAAUCAACCCCAUAGACACUUGAUGCACACACAGGUGCAUUCACUGACACACUGGCACCCAAACACCAGUCCCCCAAACACCACAACUACCAAACUGCAUAGCAACAGAAUGAGCCAACCACAUGGUCUACAAUGUAUGGGGCCACCUGGCCCCUCAGAUACACCCCAACACCAUGCUGUCAUUAAUCUACAAAUGUGCAUUGAACAGCUUCUGGACCCAACCCUAUGGGAUUUCGGAGCACCUUCAAUAGCUCUUCCCAGAGAAAGCUGGACCCACAGGGUCCUUCAUGCUUCACCCUCCAACCCUGCCUCCUACCCUAGCACCUCACAUUUGCCCUCCAUCCAGCAACAUCUGACACCUUAGGGGGGUUCUCUCCUUUUCAUAUGCUUGGAUCCACAUUAUUCCUGCAACUAGGAACCCUUUCCCCAUUUCACUCCUGAACCCCACAUACCAGACCUAUCAUUCAAGACAGAUCUCUGCAUACCUAAAGUUUAACAGUGGGACACACAACAGGGCCUAAAUGUUUGUUGACUGACUGACCAACUUACCAGCUGGGUGAAAUCAUUAGGAAUAUAAAUCAGCUAAGAAUAGUGCAUAAUUAAAGUUCCCAUCAUGGCUCGGUGGUUAACAAACCCGACUAGUAGCCAUGAAGACGCGGGUUCAAUCCCUGGCCUUGCUCAGUGGGUUAAGGAUCCUACAUUGCUGUGAGCUGUGGUGUAGCUCACAGACAUGGCUCGGAUCCCUAGUAGUUGUGGCUGUGGUGCAGGCCGGCAGCUGUAGCUCCAAUUCGACCCCUUAGCCUGGGAACUUCCAUAUGCUGCAGGUAUGGUGCUAAAAAGACAAAAAAAAAAAAAAAAA